CCUAAAUAUUGAUUUUUUUUAAUCAAAUCUAUUACCAACGUCUAAUUUUGUACAAAUAUUGCUUACCCAGAUCUUGAAAUUGUUCAAGGUGUCUGUUAAUUGCCUAUCUUACUUUUGAAAUUUUCUAUUGCUAUUUGAAAAAAAAUAUUUCUAUACUAAACAAUAAAUGUUCACAAAAAUAUUGCCAAUGUUCAAUUUUAAGAUUUCAUAUAUGUUUACACAAUUAACUAUAAAGUAGUACUUUUAUUUAUUUUAUUCAUUCAAGGACCUAGUACUUACCUAUAAUAAAUUAAUGUUAUUAUUAAUGACAAUUAUAGGUAGUUUAUAUCCAUUAAACAAUUAAACCAUUUUGAAAGUACCUAAAUAUUUUAUAUUAAUUAUUAGAUAAUAAUACAUAGGAAUUGUAAUUUUUAUGAAGAUGUGAAGGAAUUAUUUUUAAAGGUAUUUUUAUAAACAAGUCUUACUAAAAAAAUCAAUUAACUUCUUUCUUUUUACUAUCUAUAUUGUAUCCAAG